AUAGUCGCUGAAUCCGAAUAGGAGCGGGGGAACCAAUCGUGAUCUUGUUGAUCACAUGGGGUGAAUCUUGUUCAGAACUUGUGAGUGUUCUGAAUGAGUAGGGUGACUCUCAUCACCCGAACCCGUCAGCUAACCUCGUAAGCGCCGUGAGAGGA
rnacentral:sRNA from 1 species